UUGUAGGGCACACAAUCAUAAAAGGCUGAAUCCCAUGGAUCCAGGUGACAGGUGCCAUGAUUUGCCCUAGAGGGAGGGUGUGAUACUUCUGGAGGGAUUUAUAGUAUGACUUGGACAUAGGAGGAAGCUGGAACCAGGAAUGACAACUUCCAGGGCCAUGAACUGUGGCCUCUCUGCCACCCUGCCUUGGAGCCAGCUGAUGAUGGACUGAACCUCUAUAAACUAUAAAUGGAAAUGUUUUUCUUCUUGGAAAAAGUGAGCAUUCUUCAAAGUAAAUGACUGACCUUGCUGUACAUGUUUACCAUGAUCACACAGCUUGUGGAAAUUUGUAAAUGAUAUUUCCAACCGUGAAUUUAAUGAUAAAUUGGGCAUAUCU